AGGACUAACGCUGGCGGCGUGCCUAACACAUGCAAGUCGAACGAAGUAGCAAUACUUAGUGGCAGACGGGUGAGUAACACGUAGUCAACCUGCCCUUCAAUGGGGGAUAACUAGCCGAAAGGUUAGCUAAUACCGCAUACGAUCUCUGAGUGGCAUCACUCGGCGAUGAAAGGAGUAAUCCGUUGAAGGAGGGGACUGCGUCCCAUUAGUUAGUUGGUGGGGUAAUGGCCUACCAAGACUCCGAUGGGUAGCUGGCUUGAGAGAGCGACCAGCCACACUGGAACUGAGACACGGUCCAGACUCCUACGGGAGGCAGCAGUGAGGAAUUUUCCGCAAUGGGGGAAACCCUGACGGAGCGACGCCGCGUGUGGGAAGAAGGCCUUCGGGUCGUAAACCACUGUCGAGGGGGACGAUAUUGACGGUACCCCUGGAGGAAGCCCCGGCUACUACGCGCCAGCAGCCGC
rnacentral:rRNA from 1 species